rnacentral:rRNA from 1 species
AGUGAACGCUGGCGGCAGGCCUAACACAUGCAAGUCGAGCGGCAGCGGGUUCCCGCGAGGGGAUGCCGGCGAGCGGCGGACGGGUGAGGAACACAUCGGAAUCUGCCUGGUUGUGGGGGAUAACGUAGGGAAACUUACGCUAAUACCGCAUGAGACCCUGAGUCGACGGACUGGGGGUGAAAGUGAGGGACCUUCGGGCCUCACGCGACCAGAUGAGCCGAUGUCGGAUUAGCUAGUUGGCGGGGUAACGGCCCGCCAAGCGACGAUCCGUAGCUGGUCUGAGAGGAUGAUCAGCCACACUGGGACUGAGACACGGCCCAGACUCCUACGGGAGGCAGCAGUGGGGAAUCUUGGACAAUGGGCGCAAGCCUGAUCCAGCCAUGCCGGCGU